ensembl:lncRNA
GGCGGUGAGGCCCACGCCCCAGGCCGGGCAGCGUGGUGGACGGGGGCCUGGAGUUGCCCUCGGGGGACCCCCCCUGGCCUGCUGCAUGCGUGGCCUCAGAAGGAGGGUCAGCGUCCCUCUCUGGGACCCCGUGCCGGCGUCGUGUGUGAGGCUGGCCUGCAGCUGCAGCCCAUGGGAACCCUGCUGACCCCGCCCCGGGGUGUCACCUGUCAUUUGGACCCGUUUCCUGAGCCGUGGGCCCGGCCCUGGGACCCAGGCAGGGGGUCGCGUGGGGAACCCUCGGGAUCCAGAACACCCUGACAGACCCACUGAGUCCCAGCGCUGGGAGAGCCGGUCCACAUGUACCCCUGUGGACAGGAGCCCACCGCCUCCCUGGGCAGUGCACGACGGGAGCAGAUCUCUCCUCCUGCUGGGCUGGCCCCUGCCACCUGCCGUCCACCCCGCGGGCCCAUCGGACGUCCCGCCGUGAGGCUGGCAGGGGCCUUGCUCCUGACAACCUGAGGCUGCCGCAGCCCCUGUCACACACCUGGAGCUCGGAGUCCUCCGGGCAGGACCUGCCAGCAGCUGUCUACGGCCUCGGCCCUCAUGACAGGUGGCCGCGGGGGGCCCACCCGCCCUGGAGGGAGGCUCAGGGCUGGAGAAGGGGCAGGCACGCGGCCCCCCAGCCCAAGGCACCCCCCCGGCCCAGCUCCUCUCCGUGGGAGCUGCCGUCCCCACGCCUGGCCCAGGGCCCGGCCCCCUGGACCAACAUGACCUCAGUGGUGGUCAGCUGAGUCCCCGCGGCAGCCUGGGAGGCAGGCGGCACCCAGGUCCUGUCACCAGGAAGGAAACUGAGGCUGGGGCAGGCGUGUCGUGCCCAGGGCCACACCGUCCUCUGGGAACCCCCGGCCUGAGCGGGGGCUCCACGGCCAGCCCAGCGGCCCGCGCUGCUGCGGGGUCCCCCUCAGUCAGCCCACCGCGGCCUCGUGCGCAGACUCGUUCUGGCAACAGGCCACUGGCCCCCAGGCCCUGGAGCGCCUCCUUGGCCUCAGGCCUGAGGGCCCACGCUCGGUCUGGGGCCUGUGGGGGCUGUUCCUUGCCUUGGCAGGCGGGGGCCCUGGAGGUGCUCCCACCACUCUAGGCCCCCAGGCAGCCAGCCCCGGGCUCAAAUGACAGAACCACAGGGUUCUGCGGGGUGGGGGACCCUCCUCCGUCUCGAGUUCCAGCUUAUGACGCAGGGAGCCUCCCACAGGGCAGGUCCCAGCCCACGUUCCCCAACACGGCCCUCUUGCUUAGCCUGGGUCUGUUCCCUCUCUGGCCCCCAAGCCUCGGGGUGGGGGACACCAGUCACCCUCAUAGGAG